AUACGUAGGGGGCGAGCGUUGUCCGGAAUGAUUGGGCGUAAAGGGCGCGUAGGCGGCCCGGUAAGUCUGGAGUGAAAGUCCUGUUUUCAAGAUGGGAAUUGCUUUGGAUACUGAUGGGCUUGAGUGCAGGAGAGGUUAUCGGAAUUCCCGGUGUAGCGGUGAAAUGCGUAGAGAUCGGGAGGAACACCAGUGGCGAAGGCGGGUAACUGGACUGCAACUGACGCUGAGGCGCGAAAGUGUGGGGAGCAAACAGGAUUAGAUACCCUGGUAGUCCACACUGUAAACGAUGAAUGCUAGGUGUAAGAGGUAUCGACCCCUUUUGUGCCGGAGUUAACACAAUAAGCAUUCCGCCUGGGGAGUACGGCCGCAAGGUUGAAACUCAAAUGAAUUGACGGGG
rnacentral:rRNA from 1 species